AGCGUCGGACGGGUGAGUAAUGCCUAGGAAAUUGCCUUGAUUUGGGGGAAUCCAUUGGAAACGAUAGCUAAUACCGCACAAUGCCUACGGGCCAAAGAGGGGGACCUUCGGGCCUCUCGCGUCACGAUCUGCCUAGGUGGGAUUAGCUAGUUGGUGAGGUAAUGGCUCACCACUGCGACUAUCCCUAGCUCGUCUGACAGGAUGAUCACCCACACUGGAACUGAGACACGGUCCAGACUCCUACGGGAGGCCCCUGUGGGGAAUAUUGCACAAUGGGCGCAAGCCUGAUGCUCCCAUGCCGCGUGUAUUAAGAACGCCUUCGGGUUGUAAAGUACUUUCAGCAUUGAGGAAGGGGGUGUCGUUAAUACCGGCAUCUCUAGACUUUUUCUGCAUAACAGGCACCGGCUAACUCCGUGCCAGCAGCCGCGGUAAUACGGAGGGUGCGAGCGUUAAUCGGAAUUACUGGGCGUAAAGCGCUCGCAGGUGGUUUGUUAAGUCAGAUGUGAAAGCCCGGGGCUCAACCUCGGAUCUGCAUUUGAAACUGGCAAACUAGAGUACUGUAGAGGGGGGUAGAAUUUCAUAGUGUACGCGGUGAAAUGCGUAGAGAUCUGAAGGAAUACCAGUGGCGAACGCGGCCCCCUGGACAGAUACUGACACUCACAUGCGAAAGCGUGGGGGGCAUACAGGAUUACAUACCCUGGUAUUCCACGCCCUACACGAUGUCUACGUGGAGGUUGUGGCCUUGAGCCGUGGCUAUCGGAGCUCACGCGUUCAGUAGGACCGCCUGGGGUGUAUCGUCGCAACGACUUAAACUCAUAUCGAAUUGACGGGGGCCUCGCGAACAGCGGUAGGAGCAUGUGGUUUCACUUCGAUGCACGCGUGAGCACCUGCUCCUACUGCUGACAUCCAGACGACUUCUUCAGAUGAUGGCAUUGGUGUCCUCGGGAACUCUGAGACAAGAUGCUGCAUGGCUGUCGUCAUCUGCGUGGUGCUAAUGGUGGAGCUGACGUCCGGCACGAGCACGACCGUUAUCAUGCUUGCAUCUAUUAGUGUCUGGCAGCUCAGGUAACUGCUGUUAUAAGCGGAGAAGUGGGGACACCUCAAACUUCUCGGCCCUUAAAGUAGGCUCAACU
rnacentral:rRNA from 1 species